rnacentral:rRNA from 1 species
AUACGGAGGGAGCAAGCGUUAUUCGGAAUCACUGGGCGUAAAGGACGCGUAGGCGGGCUUGUAAGUCAGGUGUGAAAUCCUACAGCUCAACUGUAGAACUGCACUUGAAACUACAGACCUAGAGUAUGGAAGGGGCAGAUGGAAUUAGUGGUGUAGGGGUAAAAUCAGUAGAUAUCACUAGGAAUACCGAAAGCGAAGGCGAUCUGCUGGGACAUUACUGACGCUGAGGCGUGAAAGCGUGGGGAGCAAACAGGAGUAGAAACCCCGGUAGUCC